GAUGAACGCUGGCGGCGUGCCUAAUACAUGCAAGUCGAGCGAACAGACGAGGAGCUUGCUCCUCUGACGUUAGCGGCGGACGGGUGAGUAACACGUGGAUAACCUACCUAUAAGACUGGGAUAACUUCGGGAAACCGGAGCUAAUACCGGAUAACAUGCUGAACCGCAUGGUUCAACAGUGAAAGACGGUCUUGCUGUCACUUAUAGAUGGAUCUGCGCCGCAUUAGCUAGUUGGUAAGGUAACGGCUUACCAAGGCAACGAUGCGUAGCCGACCUGAGAGGGUGAUCGGCCACACUGGAACUGGAACACGGUCCAGACUCCUACGAGAGGCACCAGUAGGCAAUCUUCCGCAAUGGGCGAAAGCCUGACGGAACAGCGCCGCGUGAGUGGAGAAGGUCUUCGGAUCGUAAAACUCUGUUAUUAGGGAAGAACAAAUGUGUAAGUAACUAUGCACGUCUUGACGGUACCUGAUCAGAAAGCCACGGCUAACUACGUG
rnacentral:rRNA from 1 species